rnacentral:rRNA from 1 species
UAUCUGGUUGAUCCUGCCAGUAGUCAUAUGCUUGUCUCAAAGAUUAAGCCAUGCAUGUCUAAGUCCAAGCUGUGUUUACACGGCGAGACCGCGGACGGCUCAUUAAAAUCAGUCGUUGUCCAAAUGGGCCAGUCCUUACUACUUGGAUAACUGUGGUAAUUCCAGAGCUAAUACAUGCAACUGUUAACCCCGAAGGCGGGAGCUUGCCUCUUGCUCGACGGGUGCUUUUAUUAGACCAAACCGCUGGGAGAGACUCACGUCUCUCGACUCGCUGUGUGGUGACUCUGGAUAACCAAUUUUGACAAGCGCACGUACCCCUCGUGGGACGGCGCUGCCACUUUCGAGUGUCUGCCUUAUCAGCUGUCAACCGUUCGUUACACGCGACCGAUGGCUUUGACGGGUAACGGGGAAUCAGGGUUCGAUUCCGGAGAGGCAGCCUGAGAGACGGCUACCACGUCCAAGGACGGCAGCAGGCACGCAAAUUACCCAAUCCCAGCACCUGGGGGAGGUAGUGACGAAACCUAACGAUGCGGGCGCCCUUUACGGGCCCCGCAAUCGGAAUGAGCACUUUCUAAACAACCUGUUGAGAACCUACUGAAGGGCAAGUCUGGUGCCAGCAGCCGCGGUAAUUCCAGCUUCAGUAGCAUCUAUUAAAGUUGCUGCGGUUAAAAGGCUCGCAGUUGAAUGUCAGUGCCGGUUGUUGGUAGGUGGACGUUGGGAUGUCAGUUAAAGGCGCAAGCCAACUGGUCGCUCCCGUCCGUUAAAAGCCUCCGCGACCGUGUACACAGUGGCGCCAAGCGGAGGGGAUGCGUUCGCGUGUUCUUCUCUCUGGUGCCAAUGUCACCCUGAGUAAAUCAGAGUGCUUAAAGCAGUCGUAUUGGGCGCAAGCCUUUGAACACAGUCGCUCCUUCGCGGGUGACACGGACAGACUUGGUUUUGCAUGGCAUGUCAGAACACGACGUCGGGCGCUGGCUCAGAGUUCUUCUCAGUGGUAUAAGCCAGCCUCGACGUACUGAUUAAAAGGGCUUGUCGAGGGCAUUGGUAUUGCGGAGCGAGAGGUGAAAUUCUAUGACCUCCGCAAGACCGCCCGAAGCGAAAGCGUCUGCCAAGGAUGUUUCAUUAAUCAUGAACGAAAGUUAGAGGAUCGAAGGCGAUCAGAUACCGCCCUAGUUCUAACCUUAAACGAUGCCAACCAUCAAUCCGCGCGCAGCACCCUCUUUGCGGGCUCGGCGGGCAGCUCUCUAUCACGGGAAACCAGGGUCUCUGGGUUCCGGGGGGAGUCUGGUUGCAAAGCUGAAACUUAAAGGAAUUGACGGAAAGGCACCACCAGGCGUGGAGCCUGCGGCUUAAUUUGACUCAACACGGGCAAUCUCACCAGGCCAGCACUCUAGCAUGAUUGACAGAUUGAGAGCUCUUUCUCGAUUCAGUGGAUGGUGGUGCAUGGCCGUUCUUAGUUGGUGGAGUGAUCUGUCUGGUUAAUUCCGAUAACGAACGAGACUCUCCCCUGCUAACUAGUCGGUUGGAUCUUGAUCUGCGAGUGUGUGCCCUGUGAGGUGCUUGGUUGUUGCUGCGUGCGUGUUUGUGUCCCCAGCAAUGGGUGAUCCUGCGCGUGCGUUGGUGGCUUCCAUUGCUUCGCUGGUAACGCAUACUCCAAGUCCGCCGCUUGUCUUAGAGAAUAUUCUUCUUAGAGGGAUCCACGGCUCUGAAGCCGUCAGAGACUGAGAGCAAUAACAGGUCUGUGAUGCCCUUAGAUGCUCUGGGCCGCACGCGCGCUACAAUGCCGGGCACAGCAGGUGUUUCUUCCUGCUCCGAGAGGAGCGGGCAACCCUCUGAAAGCCCCAUACUUGACUUGCGUCGCCUUCACGGGCGCGCAGGAGCGGCGUGCUUGGGCCUGGGGCUUGCAAUUAUUCCCCACAAACGAGGAAUGCCUAGUAGCGGUGGGUCACUGAGCCCGCCGUGACUGAGUCCCUGCCCUUUGUACACACCGCCCGUCGCUACUACCGAUUGGGUGUACCAGUGAGAGCCUUGGACUGGCGGCCGUUGCUUUCCUUCAUGGUAGCAAACGGACUCGACUGAAAGAGGUCCGAACUGGUGCACUUAGAGGAAGUAAAAGUCGUAACAAGGUUUCCGUAGGUGAACUGCGGAAGGAUCAUUA